GAGUUUGAUCCUGGCUCAGAUUGAACGCUGGCGGCAUGCCUUACACAUGCAAGUCGAACGGCAGCAUGAUCUAGCUUGCUAGAUUGAUGGCGAGUGGCGAACGGGUGAGUAAUACAUCGGAACGUGCCCUGUAGUGGGGGAUAACUAGUCGAAAGAUUAGCUAAUACCGCAUACGACCUGAGGGUGAAAGUGGGGGACCGCAAGGCCUCAUGCUAUAGGAGCGGCCGAUGUCUGAUUAGCUAGUUGGUGGGGUAAAGGCCCGACCAAGGCGACGAUCAGUAGCUGGUCUGAGAGGACGAUCAGCCACACUGGGACUGAGACACGGCCCAGACUCCUACGGGACGGCAGGCAGUGGGGAAUUUUGGACAAUGGGCGAAAGCCUGAUCCAGCAAUGCCGCGUGUGUGAAGAAGGCC
rnacentral:rRNA from 1 species